rnacentral:lncRNA from 1 species
AUCCACCUUGCCUUCCACUGCUCUUUCCUGUGCCCAGCCUGAUUUGACCUCAUACUUGUACAAGCAUUUUCAUACUUCAACCUCAAUUUACCCUCUGGAGCUGAAAUUCAGUACUAUUUUCUAAAGUUCUUGUUUUUCCUCUCAACUGUAUUUCUUGUUUUCCCUUCUGCUUUUGGCCUCUCCCUGGAGAAGCCUGGCCUCCAGAAACUGUAGUGUUAGGCACCUCCGGCCUUAUAAGCAGGACCUAGCUGUAUGGCUAAAUGAGAAGCAGGAAGGAGGAGAAGGGAGAGUUCCAUGGGAAAGAAUAUGGAGGAGGGGUUGACACAGGCUCUGUAAUAACACAUUAGGGAUUUGAGUCUUUAUUUUAUAGGAAAAUCAGUGAGAACUCUGGGUUUCAAGUGAUACAAAACCGAUUCAAACUGACUUAAGUACAAAAGCAAAUCUGUUGACUCCUGUAAGUCCAGGGUGGUUCUAGCUUAAAGUCCAGCUGAAAUCAAGGGUUCACAUAACGCCGCCCACCUCCAUCUCCUGGGAGUUCUGCUGCUGUGUUGACUUUACUCUCAGGCAGGCUCUUUCCCACAUGGGGGCAAGUUGAGCAGCAUUAGCCAGAGGGUUACAUUCUGCCUGGUUAAUAAUCUCAAGAAGGAGCUCUUCUUUGGACUUUCACUGGAGGACCAUGAGUCACAUGCACACCUGUUAACCAAUCACUGUGCCAGGGAGAUGAAAUACACUAGACAUCCCUGGGCUACGUGCAUACCCUGGAGGGCAGGGGAGUGGAACCCUAAAACAAACUCAAAGUGCUGUUGCAGAAAGAAGCUGAAAUGGAAGCUGGGUAGGCGGAAACAAGAGAUGUCUACUAAAGAAAGAGGGCCAGUAAUGGUAUUAGAGCUGGUAAUGAGAAGAUCAGAAUGUUGCUUUCAGAUGAUUAAUCUGGAAGCAGGGUCCAGGAUGGGCUUGGGGUUGGGGAAGUUUGGGAUUAGGAAAACUGGUUAGGAGGCUACUCUAUCAUCCAGGUAAAAGACAUGACAGUGAGAAUGGGAAAGACAGGACAAGUGUAAGAAGUUACUUCAGAGGUAAAUUAAUUGUCAGCAUCACUCGCACCAAGAAGGUAUAAGGAAGAGGUAUGAGGUCAGAGGAAAGUCACUCGGCUAAUAAGAAUGUGGGAGAAUGCCUCUCUCAGAAGCCUAAGACCCACUCCCUCUAAUGUAGUUGUGAGAUAUCCUACCUAUUUAUGAUUAUGUUCUUUCCCCGUGCAGGUAAACUACCGGUCUUAAAAAUUACAGUCACUCCCCAGAUCUCUUCAGAUACCUUCAGAUCAAUUUGGAAAAAUAGCAAGAAGUCUAACACUAUGCAUAAAAAGAAGAAAAAGGUAAGUUCUUGGACGUCUGUGUCAGUGAGGAGCAGCCACCAGGGAGUGCUGUGUGGAGCCUGGGCCCUUGGGGCAGACAGCACCAUCAGCUGCAGGUUUUGCAUUUGAUUAUAUGAGAAUUUAGGUUCUAGGUCACGCUCCCCUAAACCAUCAUUCCAAUCUGAUGGAUGAUGAUUGAACCAAGAGACAAGUAAGUAAGAGAACAACAGUUUCCUCAAAGAUUGGCACAGACUGGGCCUCCCCUCUUUAAUUCCCACCCCUACCCAAAUCCUAGUUGCUGCUAGCCUAUUGUGGAUCUGAAAAGAUAAAUUUACUUUUAAAUUUACCUAAACUCUUUAUGAAGGCUGUGCUACCUCUUAGGAGGUAAUGCUUUAUAUAUGUUUAUUCUCUACUGUAAGAAGUUGAACUCCCUUUUUUCUAUAAUUUAUGAUUGCCUGUUUAUUAUUUCACAGACUAAAAACUGAAUAUAGGUGCUAUAUUUCCAUAUGGAUGUCAUCUAUUUCCAUGGCCAAGCAGAUACACCCGGAUAGAUAUUGCUUAUUCUAUAGUAAUAUUUUUCACUGUAACCAAGUCCCUUUGAAGUUCUCAAAUUUGAUGAUUAUUGUAUGAAAGUUUAAAGUCAUGUGAUAAUCCUGUCUUGUGAUGAUCCCAUCACACUUGUCAUUUUCUAAAAUGUGGGUUUCACAAGUAGGCCUUAGUAAAAAAAGACGCAAUUCUCUGAGGCUUCAUCUCUCCUGCAUAUGAAAUUUAUAAGUUGAAGGAAAUCAUACUUUUAUCUAAAAAAGAAAGAAUCCUCUUUCAUAAAUAUACCUAUAGUUGGGAACAAUAAGAAUGCUUGGAAAUAAUAACCACUUCCUAAAAGACACCAUCCCUAAAAAUGAGGAUCCUCCCUAAAUGAGGAAACUUUUUUUUUUUUAAGACAGGGUCUUGCUCUGUUGCCCAGGCUGGAGUGCAGUGGCGCAGUCUUGGCUCACUGCAACCUCUGCCUCCUAGGUUCAAGUGAUUCUCCUGCCUCAGCCUUCUGAGUAGCUGGGAUUAUAGGCGCGCACCACCAUGCCCAGCUGAUUUUUUGUAUUAUUAGUAGAGACAGGGUUUCACCAUGUUGGCCAGGCUGGUGUCGAACUCCUGACCUCAGGUGAUCCACCUGCCUUGGCCUCCCAAAGUGCUGGGAUUACAGGCGUGAGCCACAGCUCCCAGCCAAAUGAGGAAACUUUUAAUUCCUCUGCCCCACCCUGAAGAUGCCACAUAGCCCCGUGAGAAAUGGAAGAGGUGUGGUUGAUUGAUAUACAGAUGACAGUGGGUGAGUUGAGUUUUAUAUGCCACAACAAUUAUGGUGCAGGAUGAAGAGCAUGGCCUAGGCAGUUAGAUGAACCAGAAGUCUCUAUGGAGGAACUGCCGCUUUCCAGGUACUGAGCCUGGGCAAGUCAGUUCACCUCAUGCUCCUCAGUUUCCUCUUAUGUAAGACAUAGUUAAGAGUAGCAGGGCUGGGUGCAAUGGCUCAUGCCUGUAAUCCCAGCAAUUUGGGAGGCUGAGACAAAAGGAUCGCUUGAAGCCAGGACUUCAAGACCAGCCUGAGCAACAUAGUGAGACCCCCUAUCUCUACAAAAAAUUUAAAAAUUAGCCAGCUGUGGUGGCAUGUGCCCGUAGGCCUCGCUAUUUGAGAGGCUGAGGCAGGAGGAUUGCUUAAGCCCAGGAGGAUAACACUUCAGUGAGCUAUAAUUGCACCACUGCACUCCAGUCUGGGUGAGGAAGUGAGACCCUAUCUCAAAAAAAAAAAAAAAAAGAGUAGCGCCUAUCUCAAUUGGUGAGCAUUGAAUGAGACCACACAUGUCAAGCAUUUUAGAACAAUGAGAACAAUGCCUUGUUCAUAUUAUACACUCAAAAAUAAAUAUGAGUGGCUCUUAUUAUUGCUGCUGUUAUUGUGGAUGUUAGAAUUGAGUGGUGCCAGUUAUUUCAUCUAUGACAACCACACAAGAAACAUAGGAAAGAAAUGAAAAAAAGAAGACUGAAGACCUCUUCACUUUGAAGUAAAAAUAAAAAACGAAAACUUCAUUCAUUCUAUCUACAAAUUUAACAAGUGCUAGCAAGUUUCUGGAAUCAAACUAACUGUAGGGUAAGAAUGGUAUAGUAAAUUAGCUCCACUCUCCAGGGUCUUAGGAUCUAGCUAAGAAGACAAGAUCUUCGGCCAGGCACGGUGGCUCACGCCUGUAAUCCCAGCAUUUUGGGAGGCCGAGGCGGGUGGAUCACCUGAGGUCAAGAGUUCAACACCAUCCUGGCCAACAUGGUGAAUCCCUGUCCCUACUAAUAAUACAAAAAUUAGCCAGGCGUGGUGGCACAUGCCUGUAAUACCAGCUACUCGGGAGGCUUAGGCAGGAGAAUCACUUGAACCCGGGAGGCGGAAGUUGCAGUGAGCUGAGAUCACGCCAUUGCACUCCAGCCUGGGUGACUAUAGCAAAACUCCGUCUCCAAAAAAAAAAAAAAAAAAGACAAGAUUUUCUUGCAUUAAAAGUGAACAACAAUAAAGUAUAUGACUUGGAAAAAUAUGUGUCAUUAAGCAGGAUAAGAAAGGCCAUAGAGUAACAAGAUCAAUGUAACAAAUUUACCAGAACUGAUGUAUCCAAUAUGUGAGAGCUCCUGAGAACUGUUCCUGCUUAAAAGAAAUGAAAAUAGACUGGGUGGGCACCGUGGCUCACGCCUGUAAUCCCAGCACUUUGGGAGGCCGAGGUGGGCCGAUCACGAGGUCAGGAGAUCGAGACCAUCUUGGCCAACAUGGUGAAACCCCAUCUCUACUAAAAAUACAAAAACUAGCUGGUCGUGGUGGCCCAUGCCUGUAAUCUCAGCUACUCAGGAGGCUGAGGCAGGAGAACAGCUUGAACCAGGGAGUUGGAAGUUGCAGUGAGCUGAGAUCAUGCCACUGCACUCCAGCCUGGCAAAAGAGUGAGACUCCGUCAAAAAAAAAAAAAAAAAUGAAAAUAAAAGUCAAAAAGACCUUUUUUGAAAUUUGCCACACGUAUCCACUGGGUAGGAGUGUAAAAUCAGAAUACCCCUUUAGCGGGUCUUUUGGCAGUGUUUAUUAAAAUGAAAAAUACAUAGCUUUUGACUCGGCCAUUCUACUUUUAGAAAUUUGUUUACUGUCACAUGUGUGCAAGGAAAUAUGUAUGAGGAUGUUCACUGCAGCACUCUUUAUUUUACGUGGGAAAUAACUAAAUUUUUCUCAAAGAGUUUCAGGGGAAUAAAUCACAGUAAAUGUGUGUGGUAGAAUACUAUGCAGUCAUUGAAAGAAUAAUGUGGAUACAUAAGUGCUUAUAUGGAAAAGUAUCCAAGUAACACCAUUUUUAAAAACAGGUGAGAGAAUAGUAUAUGUGAAAAAUUCAUACAAAAAUGAAUUGACAUAGUAUAAUCCAGCAAUUUCACUUGUGUGUAUACAUCUAAAAGAAUUGAAUGUAGCGUCAUUAAGAGAUAUUUGAACACCAUGUUCAAAGCAGCAUCAUUUACAAUAAAUCAAAGGUGGAAGUAACCCAAAUGUCCAUGGAGAGAUGACUGGAUAAAUUAAAUGUGAUAUAUACAUAAAAUGGAAUAUUACUCGGCCUUAAAAACGAAGGAAAUUCUGACACAUGCUACGACAUGGAUAAACCUUUAAGGAUAUUAUGCUAAGUGAAUAAGUCAGUCACAAAAAGACAAAUACUGCAUGCCUCCACUUAGAUACUUACAGUAGUCAAAAUCAGAGACAGAAAGUAGAAUGGUGGUUGGGAGUACGUGUGAGGAGGGAGUUAUUGUUUAAUAGGUACAGAGUUUCAGUUUUGCAAGAUGAAAAAGUUCUGGAGAUUGUUUGCACAACACUGUGAACAUACUAAACACUCCUGAACUGUACACUUAAAAUGGUUAAGAUGGUAAGUGUUACGCAAAUUUUACCACAAUUUAAAAAAAUUUUAAAUUGAUGCAUUGUGUGUCUGCUUGUGCAUAUACAGGAAUUUCUGGAGAGUCUAUUAAUGGUACUUGGGUUUUUAUUGUAUUCCUGUUUCACUGUUUUUAUCAUUUGUGAGCUGUCAAUUUUUAAAAACUUAAAAUUGUUCAAUAAAUUAUGAUGAGCUUGUUAAACAUCUGUAACAGCGCCCUUUGCUUGCUGUGUGACCUGGUGCCAAAAGUGUAGAAGAAGCACAGUAAAUGCUGUGAUUUCCUGGGAGGACAUGAAUAUGUGGUGGCAAAGAGUGGCCAGUGAGAACAGAAAGAUGAGUACAUUUUUUCUAAGCACAGAGGGCAAUCCAGCUGAAGAAGGUAGGGGAAGUUCUAUCCAAUUUCAGAGAUGUUAACAUGUGAGGAAAAGACCAUCCAUGGUACACUUGGAUGACUGUGCAGACCAGUCUCACGAGGAUCCUGCAGAGGGGUGCCGGGGAUGGCCUUGACAGGUAGGUUGGGGCCAUAUUGUGGUGGGACUUAAAUGAACAAUCAGGACAUUUAGAUUUUGUUCUGAUGAUAAUGUGGAGCUUUGGAACAUUUUGAGCAGGAGAGUGUCAGGAGGUAGGAAAAUUAACCAGGCAUGUUAGAUUGAAUGGCAGUUAGACUGGGGAGGAAAGGCAGGGAAGAAGUCAAUACACUGUAAUCCAGAAGCAGGGUGAUGAGGUUAAGCUCCACAAUAGGAAAUGGAAAGUUUGGUUGAUUCUAGAAAUUUCUAAAGAAAGAAUGAACAGAUAAUUACGUAUGAAGGGCGAGGAAGGGAAAGAGUCAACAGUGACCGUGGUUUCAGACCAGGACAGUUAUACCUACGAG